AGCGUAGACGGCUGUGCAAGUCUGAUGUGAAAGGCAGGGGCUCAACUCCUGGACUGCAUUGGAAACUGUGUAGCUUGAGUGCCGGAGAGGUAAGCGGAAUUCCUAGUGUAGCGGUGAAAUGCGUAGAUAUUAGGAGGAACACCAGUGGCGAAGGCGGCUUACUGGACGGUAACUGACGUUGAGGCUCAAAAAGCGUGGGGAGCAAACA
rnacentral:rRNA from 1 species